GCAAGAAAAUAAGUUAGGUCUCCUCCUUUUGUACUGUGAAGUUCAAAGGCCCAGUAUCAAAUCCUUAGACCUCCAAACACAGUGGCAAAUAAAGACUCAAUCUAACACUUUUAAACAAAACCACCCUCUGUGCCCCUGUCCCCCAAAUUUAGACAGACUCGGGUGAGAGAACUGUCCAAGAAAAAAGAAAGAAAUACCAGGGCUUUACAGGAGAAUCAUUU